rnacentral:rRNA from 1 species
GAAAGGGUGCGUAACACGUGGGAAUUUACCAAGAAGUGGGGAAUAGCUCGACGAAAGUCGAAUUAAUACCGCAUAUGAUCGCAAGAUCAAAGCCGGGGACCGAAGGCCUGGCGCUUUUUGAGAAGCCCGCGGCCCAUCAGCUUGUUGGCGGGGUAACGGCCCACCAAGGCUAUGACGGGUAGCUGGUCUGAGAGGACGACCAGCCACACUGGAACUGAGACACGGUCCAGACACCUACGGGUGGCAGCAGUCGAGAAUUUUUCACAAUGGACGAAACUCUGAUGCAGCGACGCCGCGUGAGCGAUGAAGCCCUUCGGGGUGUAAAGCUCUUUCGACGGGAACGAUAAUGACGGUACCCGAAGAAGAAGCUGCGGCUAACUACGUGCCAGCAGCCGCGGUAAUACGUAGGCAGCAAGCGUUGUUCGGAAUUACUGGGCGUAAAGAGUGUGUAGGCGGUGUUCUAAGUCUGUUGUGAAAUCUCCCGGCUCAACUGGGAGGGUGCGGCGGAGACUGGAAUGCUAGAGUAUGGGAGAGGUAAGCGGAAUUCCUGGUGUAGCGGUGAAAUGCGUAGA